UCAGCUGGCUGCUUUUUGAC
rnacentral:misc_RNA from 1 species